rnacentral:lncRNA from 1 species
UCCAGACCGGUUCACCUGCGUAUAAAAGCGCCGCACACAACAGAGGGACCAGCAGGCGCAGCAGUGCAAUCACUCAGCCAGCCAUGAAGGUCGUCACUCUCCUGCUUGUGGUCUGCACCUCCGUGGCCUGGGCGAAACCUUCGUGCAUCGAGAACAUUUGCCUGCCCACCAGUCCAGCCAGUGAGGUGGGAGCUACGGGAGAUAUCACAAGUGGCACAAGGUUUGGCCAUCUCGUCGAUUUCGUCGUCCUUACGGCCGCCCGUGUCAAGACUCUGCCCUCCAGGGCCCCUGCAGCAGCCGCAAUAGUGCAAUCAUUUAGGCAGCCAUGAAGGUCGUCGCUCUUCUGCCUGUGGUCUGCACCUCCGUGGCCUGGGCGAAGCCUUUUUGCAUCGGGAACAUCUGCCGGCCCACCAGUCAAGCCAGUGGGGGGG